AAGCUUACAUUUAGUAAAGACACAACAAUGUAUUCACUAUGGAGUUUCCUGUUACUGGGGACAUUCUGGACCUCCUUGGUGAAUUGCCAGGAUUCUGUAAGCCAGAAUGACACCAUCAUCGUCACAGAAGGAGAAAAUGUGACUUUAUAUUGCACCUUUAAAGUGAGUGCUUUUAACGGGUUAAGAUGGUACAAGGUGAACCCAGGAUCCAGUCCAGUUCAUAUCAUCUAUGCCUCCAGCAAAAAAAGAGUAACAGAAGGAGAACUCACACUUAACUUUCAGGGUGACAGCUGUUUUCUGCACAUCCAGCGCCCCGGUGUAUCUGACUCUGCACUCUAUCUCUGUGCCGUGCAUGAUGCACACUGGCUUUUUAUUUAG